AGGACGAACGCUGGCGGCGUGCUUAACACAUGCAAGUCGAGCGAGGCCCCUUCCUUCGGGAGGGGAGCCCUAGCGGCGAACGGGUGAGUAACACGUGGGCAAUCUGCCCCUAGCACUGGGAUAACUCCGGGAAACCGGGGCUAAUACCGGAUAUGACCUCUGAGGGCAUCCUCUGGAGGUGGAAAGGAUUCUGGCUAGGGAUGAGCCCGCGGCCUAUCAGCUAGUUGGUGGGUAAUGGCCUACCAAGGCGACGACGGGUA
rnacentral:rRNA from 1 species